AGGGAUGUAGAUCAAUGUUAGAGUGUUUGCCUAGCAUGCAUGAGACCCUGGGUUCCAUCCCCAGCACCACUA
rnacentral:tRNA from 1 species